AUGCAUAGAUAAUGUGCCCCUUAGUUCGGGAUAGCCACUGGAAACGGUGAUUAAUACCGGAUACUCCUUCUUGUUAUAAGACAAGUCGGGAAAGUUUUUCGCUAAGGGAUCAGUCUAUGUUCCAUCAGCUUGUUGGUGAGGUAAUGGCUCACCAAGGCUAUGACGGAUAUCUGGUUUGAGAGGAUGAUCAGACACACUGGAACUGAGACACGGUCCAGACUCCUACGGGAGGCAGCAGUGAGGAAUAUUGCACAAUGGAGGAAACUCUGAUGCAGCAACGCCGCGUGGAGGAUGACGCAUUUCGGUGUGUAAACUCCUUUUAUUAGGGAAGAUAAUGACGGUACCUAAUGAAUAAGCACCGGCUAACUCCGUGCCAGCAGCCGCGGUAAUACGGAGGGUGCAAGCGUUACUCGGAAUCACUGGGCGUAAAGGGUGCGUAGGCUGGCUUUUAAGUCAGAUGUGAAAUCCAAUGGCUCAACCAUUGAACUGCAUUUGAAACUGAAAGCCUAGAGUUCAGAAGGGGCAGAUGGAAUUAGUGGUGUAGGGGUAAAAUCCGUAGAUAUCACUAGGAAUAUCAAAAGCGAAGGCGAUCUGCUGGGAUGAUACUGA
rnacentral:rRNA from 1 species